AAGUUGGAUUCGCUAGUAAUCGCGCAUCAGCCAUGGCGCGGUGAAUACGUUCCCGGGCCUUGUACACACCGCCCGUCAAGCCAUGGGAGCCGGGGGUGCCUGAAGCUCGUGACCGCAAGGAGCGACCUAGGGCAAAACUGGUGACUGGGGCUAAGUCGUAACAAGGUAAC
rnacentral:rRNA from 1 species